AUGAUGAUGAAAUCCAAGUUUGUUGUGCCGGUGAUCCUGAUGUUGGCGAUCACGGCGCUCUUCGUCCGGUCGAGCUCGGCGCGGCCGUUGGGCGGCAAUGCGCAGACAGGAGAGUCCGCUGCCGGCGUAGUCACCGGCGAGUCCAUCCUCCAGCUUCUCCAGCGACUGUAUCUGCAGAACCUGCUGGGACUGGGAGGGCCAGGGGCGUCGUGCGGGACGAACAGCACCAAUGGUGGAUGCCCACCCCCACCUUCAGGAUUAUCCCCUCGGUGGGAGCCGACUUUCGUGUUGAUAGCGAGAUGUCUAUAUGCAUGCUUCGUCCCUGCUUAUCCUUUCUCGUCGCAUACCACCUUGCAAAAGAAUUUACCAUCCCUCUCCACUACCCUGCCAUUGGAUUCCGAGCUUUAA
rnacentral:rRNA from 1 species